AUAAAAAUCGUCAAGUGUAUCCAGUGUUCAAUAGAUCUAACACAACUAUUAGUUGGUUUAUUGUAAUAUUCCAGAAGACAAUGAAAACAGUUGUAAAUAUACCGGCUAUGCUGAUGUACGGAACAAGCUGUGUAAUAUUUAUCAGGAAAUGAUUUGAAUAUAUUUUUUUGUUCGCGCCAAUUUACCAACAGUAUAUUCGUCUUUAACCCUUUGACUAAUCAUAGAGACCAAAUACCGCCAAAUUGGCGUAAAACGGAAGUGUACGCUAGCUUACAACAUGAACUCAACACAGCUGAUGUCACAUGUAUAUCUCUAAAAUACAGAAUAUGUUCAAACCGGUUUUUAAAAAAUUAUAAUGCAAACAUCUAUUUACUGAGACAUGACAUUCUACUCUGCAGUGUUGUUGGUGUACUGUUGACCUGUAAGCUGGCUGGAAUACUGGAUGCAGAUCCAGCAUCUAGGAUAACCCCUGCCAGGUGGUUUCGGAAGAAAAAGGUUAAAGUUUUUGAUUGCUUCUACACCUAGCAACAUCAGGAGACAGCAGUAGAAGAAGAGUAUGAAGAUGUAUUUUCUAUUGAUAUAGAUGAUGUUUUAAACCAGGAGCAAGAACUUAUUUCAAGCACAGAAACUCUUAAAAUAUUAUUAGAAUAGAGAGUUAGAUAUUGUGAUUGGUGAUCGGCUCGUUCAUCUUUAUUUCAUGCCGUUCGUUCAUCGUUCGUUCGUUUGUAUUUUUUUCAAUCGUUAACAAAUUUAUUCCGUUUGUUCUCUAAAAUUAUGGUUCAUUUACAAUUUAUUUCAUUCAUUUUCUCACUGAACGAUCGUUUAGUAAAAUUGUUCAGUAAUAUCGUUCGUUCGAUAAAAUCGUUU